rnacentral:lncRNA from 1 species
ACUAGAAUAUAAUCUUUAGCAAGAUGGCGGCCACAACUGCCCCCACUGCAUGCUUGUGGCAUCAAGAAAGGGAAGGGGAUGGAGGCCCAGAACACUAGGGGGACUUCUACCCAUGUCGGGGUAGAGGUAAGGGAAUCCAAGAAGGGAGUGGGUGAGACUUGUAGACAGGAGUAAGGGAGAGUCACUAGAACAGGACCUCUACACCUUCUUUGGGCAGCCAGGUGAGAGGUGCCCAGCCAGCGAGUCCAGGUACCCCAAUCAGCAUUAGGGUGUCCUGCAGAAAGCAUAUUAUGAAGGAAAGACAGGAAUGAGUGGCAUCCUUGGAACUAUCUGGUGGGAGUUAAACUGCAUCGGCAGAGGGGAUAUGGCAAGUCCAGCAUCCAGUUGAGCAAUUAAGGGAGAUCAUGAGAGCAGCGUCCAGCCGUGGAUAGGGGGCAGUCUCACCAUGGAUAGGGGCAGUCUCACCAUGGAUAUGGAGCAGUCUCACCAUGGAUAGGUGAGACGGAUGGGUGCACCUCACCAUGGAUAGGGAGUCUCACCAUGGAUAGGGAGCAGUCUCACCAUGGAUAGGGGGCAGUCUCACCAUGGAUAGGGGGCAGUCUCACCAUGGAUGGGGGCAGUCUCACCACAGAUAGGGGGCAGUCUCACCACAGAUAGGGGGCAGUCUCACCAUGGAUAGGGGGCAGUCUCACCACGGAUAGGGGGCAGUCUCACCAUGGAUGGGGGUAGUCUCACCAUGGAUAGGGAGCAGUCUCACCAUGGAUAGGGGGCAGUCUCACCAUGGAUGGGGGUAGUCUCACCAUGGAUAGGAGGCAGUCUCACCAUGGAUGGGGGCAGUCUCACCAAUGGAUAGGGGGAAGUCUCACUAUGGAUAGGGGGCAGUCUCACCAUGGAUAGGGGGCAGUCACACUAAUGGCAAAGGAGGGGCAGUUGACAGUAACCAGGGCUUGAUUGUGAAGAGUGGACAAGUGGCUGAAGGUUGGUGAAGGGAUGCUCAGCAAGCCAGGUUUGGCCACUCAGUGGGUGACCAAAAUGACCCUGUGGUGGAAAUUGUCAGUGACUUCAGUGCUGAGUAAUCAGUGAGUAGGUCUCAAGAAGCAACAUGUCGAUGUGGAAUGUUGGGCCACCUGGAGCAGUGAAAGACAGCAGGCAAACUGGGGCUUGGAAAAUGGCUCUAGGGACAUAAAAGGAGCUGAAUGGACUUGGCAGUAGCAGGCUUGGAGCUGCUUGAUUGCAGAGCAAUGACAGGCCAAAAUGGAAGAGGAGGACCAGGAGAACUCAGAACUAAGCAGUAAUGGCUGCAGACACUGUGCACUGGAGGAUGUUGUAGAUACAAAAGUGUGAUCUUGGAGGUGGUCCAGUGAAGUCAGAGUUUCAGGUUUUGUCCAUCCCAGAUGGCUGCCCAGCACAACUGAGUUUUCCAGGAGGUGCAGGCCAUAGAAACUGCGGUGGAGGUGGCCUACUAGGCAAAUGCCAGCUAGCGAUUAGUCAAGGUUGGUGGGCCAGUCUCCAUGGCUAUCCUGGGUGUUAACGGUGAAGGUGUCUUUCAGCAGGUAGAGAAGUCUAUGUUUGGUCCAAGAGGGCAUGAAGUAGUCACUGCAGAUAUGAUGGGGCAGGGGUCCUCAUAAUGCUGAUACAAGGUGCACAGGCAGUGCCUGGGCCCAAAGUGUGUCUGUGACGUGAAGGUAGAGAAACUUUUGUGCACGAGGCAGCUCCUCAUAGACCAGAUAGAGUCAAGCUGGGGUUAAGGGCUAGAUGAGUGUUGCCUCUGUCCUGUGAAGAUGGAAGGUGUGUAAACCCACUGGAGCACACCUAAACGUCUCAGUAGCUCUCUUCCUUCCUUUGUGGUAGGUACCUCAUCCACUUUCAGCCCUGGUUGUAAGGAGGCUCAUGCUGGAUUGUGCUGCUUGCCAGGCCAUAAACAGCCAUUGUGACAGAGCACAGGAAUAGCUUCUGUCACGUCUGCCUGCUCUGGGCCCAGAGUCCCACCUGACUGUGCUUCCUGGAGAAGCUUGACAGGAUCUUUAAGUAAUGAAAUCAAUCUUCCCAUCUUUGGAGAUAGCUGCCAGCUGUUGUAUUCUUGGCCUGUGAAUUGUAGACCCUUCCUGUUCAGUACGCACACCACAGCCAGGUGGCACUUUUCCUGUUGGGCCUCUGCAUCAGGUGUUUGAGCAGGCUUCGAAUUUCUGCUUGUGUCAAAGGGCCUACAGUAGUACCCCCUUAUUUGAGGUUUUGUUUUCCACGUUUUCAGAUACCCAACUUCAACCACAGUCCGAAAAUUUUUAAUGGAAAAUCUACAAAUAAACAAUUCAUAAAUUUUAAGUUGAUCUUGGAGGUGGUCCAGUCAAGCUAGAGUUUCAGGUUUUGUCCGUUUCAGAUGGCUGCCAAAUGCAAGUAGGGCUCUUGAGUGUUUCCAGGAGGUGUGGCUGUGAGUUGUCUGAUGAAAUAUUUUGCCAUCCUGCUCCGUCCCACCCAGGACAUAAGUCAUCACUUUGUCUGGAGGAUCCACACCAUGCACUCCCUGCCCAUCAGUCACUUAGAAGCCGCCGUGGUUAUCAGAUGGACUGUCGUGGUAUCACGGUGCUUGCAUUCCAGUAACCCUUAUUUUACUUGACAGUGGUCCCAAAGCACAAGAAUAGUGACGCAGGCAACUUGGAUAUGCCAAAGAGAAGCUGUAAAGUGCUUCCUUUACGUGAAAAGGUGCAAGUUCCUGACUUAAUAAGGUAAAAAACAGAAAAACAAAAAACCCUCAUAUGCUUCUAUGAAGCGUAAGAAACCCUCAUAGGUUUCUAAAGAUUUAAGGUAAGAAUGCAUCUUCUAUCCAUAAGAAUUUUCUUAGUCUGUUUUCUGUGGUCAUAACAGAAUAGACAGGCAUAAGGGAGAGUCACCAGAACAGGACACUGAGUAAUUUAUAAAGAAGAGAGGUUUACUUUGGCUUACAAUUCUGGAGGCCUAGGAGUCAAAGAUCUGCCCACUAUAUCUGGUCAGCUUCCAGUGAGGCCUCUGCCAUGUCACAGCAUGGCAGAGAAGUGGAAAAGGAAGUGAGUGUGCCAAAGGGAGCCAAGGCAAGGAAGAACCUCACUUUGUAACAACCAGCUCUGACAGUUACUAACCGAGUCCUGCUAGACAGAGUGCUUGCUUUGGGAUCCGAGAUUAGUUCUUCCUCACCCUCGCUGUUUGCGGAGGUGGCAGCUGCUUUCUUAACUGUGUCCAGGUGGUGACUGGCAAUGCCUGUGGUGCUGCUGGGGGUAAUCUGGUGCACUCAGGAUGAUCACAGCUCACAGGCCUCCAGGUCAGCCAGGUGCAGAGUGGCAACUCUGAGGUGAGCCCCUAUGAUUUGGAUGUGCUGCUCAUGGGCUGCUGCUGGCAGCACCCAGCAGGCAUUGUAGGGGGUGGUAAAGCCCUGGAGAAGCCGCACUGUCUCACUGGGAGCAUGCAGAGGAACAGGGAUGGCAGCAACAUGCCCGUUGGUGAUUUGGUGACUUUGCUAACGGCAUUAGACCGGGGUAUGUUGGAGAAGUCUCUUUCCCCAGUUGGCAGACAACAGAUAAGCUUUCUGUGGAGAAGAUGUACUUGAGCCUUCUUGGUCUAUGGGGUCAUGAUGCCAGGACCUUUGGGGACGAGGAGCUCCUCUCCCACAGCUGAGGCUAGAAACAUACCAGCUGGUGGUUGGCUCUUCAAGCCCAGGGUGUCCCCCAGCCUACAGCAUUCCUACCACCCUCCUCCUAGAAGCCCACCUUCCUGUGGGACCAGAGUGGUCUUAAAAGUAAUUUUGGCAAAUUUUACCUGGUGGUGACCUCCAAAACAGAGGCACAAAGUAAAGAUAGAAGGCAGCAACACAUGUGAAAACAGAACAAAAACUGCCAGACCCACUGUAGAGUGUUCCUCAGACCUCACCCAAUCUCUCGAUCAGAGCCAGGCCCUGGCCACUCUCCCUUGAUCCUCCUGUAGAAAUGGGUGUCAUCACUCAUUGGCUUACUCAAAUUUCAUCCUCACUGCUAGUUGUGUUCUGAGGUUUUGGGUGGUCCCAGCUAGCCAGCUUCACAAGGGUGAUUUAUCCCUGUCAUCAAAGAUGAGUCUUAGACACCAUCUAAUGCUCAAGUAGUUUAUUCCAGCAGUGCUCUUACAAGACAGAAAGCAGGAGCUGGCUGGUGUCAUAGGCCGGAUAUAGUCAGAGGUCAG